UAGAACCAGUGUUUGAGUGUUGUUUUUGACUCUGGAAGUAAAAUCCUGCCUGAAGCAGGUGGCCGCUGUAGAACAUAGGUAACCCAAACGCGAAUAUAUGUUUAUUCUACGUACGUAUCUUUUACCUAUUGUAUCUGUUGUGAUAUGUAUGCACGUUACGAACCUGUUUAAAAGCUUGAUAAAAUAACAACGCUACUCAAUCAACUUAUAGCAAUUGUGAAGAGAAGUUCGACUAAGUUUUGUUAUCAUGGAUCAAAAGGAUAUAUCUCGGCUGAAAUAUUCGAAAUGCUGUGCAGCUGUUGGCAAUAAGAAGUGCAGCCGUUAGGGUUCACGCAGUUUAUCUUCAACGAUAAUAGAAAAAAAUACGGUCCAUGGGUUAUGACCAGCAACUGGAUGAAUCGAUGCUCAUUUGAGUUUCUUGUCAAGCUGCAUUAUCGCAUAGCAGAAGUGUUCCACAAAAAAAGCGACAAACGGAUGAAUACGAAGCAACGCAAGACUUCGAAGAUCCACAACCAUCAACAAGUAAAAAUCCGCAAGAAUCAACAUGUGAAAAUCCGCAACCACCAACAAUUGAUACUGAGCAGCCAUUAACAAGUUGUGAAGAGAUUAAUGACAUGCUAGAAGCAGUACCGUCAGCUCCAUCAUUACAGUCAAUCGCGUCAGUGGAUCAGCUGCAGGGUUCGUACAAUGUGGAAAAAUUUAAUCGUGCAAACACUGGAAGUUUCCCCCGACCAGGAGCACGAGAAGUACCGAGAUCACGCAGGCAGCGCGACGAAACAUAUUCGGCAUAGAUUCAACGGACAUGGCUAAGCAGGAAGCAUAUGAUGUAAUGAUUAAGCAAUUAUUGGAGAAAUUUGUAGCUCCUACGACAAGCAGGAAUGACCAGGUAAAAAUAUUGUCAGUACUACUAAAAAUCGUGGUCCAUCGCUAAAAUAGUGAAGGAAUUCGAUGCGUCGCCAUAUAUAGUGAAACAGAAGAAAACACUUGUUAACGAUCAGGGUAUACUUUGUACUCCUAAUUCGAAAUGUGGGCGUGGAAUCAGUUAAAUUGAUAAAAAUCGGUAAUAGUUUUUUUUUGACAAUGAUGACAUUAGUAGACCUAUGCCAGGAACUAACGAUUUUGUGUCUGAACUUCGAUGGCAAAAAAGAACAUGUUCAAAAACGUCUAUCAAUGAUGUUUCUC